AACCCGGCGGUUCUCGCGCGGCUGCGGCCUCCAGCUCCCGGGUCCCUGGGGCUGUUGCUGCUCGUUUCACCGCCUGGAUUUUUAUCGGUGUUUUUGUUUUCCCCAAAAGUCGAUGAGAGUCUUGUGCUCAUGUCUACCCGGUUCCUUCCGGUCUCGGAUUGGGAAACCAAGCGGCCUGGCCUACUGGUGCGGGACUGUAAAGAAGGAAUGACUCUUGGACAACACGGAAGAACACUUGACCAAACUAUAGGGCAGCCUUAUCACAUACAGGCAGCACCCCAACUCCAACUAUUUUUAAAAGUUGGCAGGCGUCCUAAUUGUGAAAAAAACAAAAUUUUACAAAAUGCGUAGGUUCAGGUUGAAUUAAGGAAAGAGGCAGUAAGAUGAAGGCUGUGCAGGGGUUGUUUAUAACCUGUUUUUAAUUCCCUCGUUCCACAGGUGUUGAUGUUUAUUGAGUGCUAUGUCCCAGGCACUAUUAGGCAAGGGCACGUAACAGACAGUUAAAGACAGUUCACAUAGAACUUGCAACCUAAUGAGAGACAACAGUAGUGAGUCCAUGGCAGCUGCUCCCAAAAUGCCCUCCGCAGAUCCCUAAGGGUACCGAGACCUUUUCAGUAAGUUGGCAAGGUCAAAACGAUUUUCGUAAUAAUAUUAAGAGUUUCUUGACCUUUUUC
rnacentral:lncRNA from 1 species